rnacentral:rRNA from 1 species
AGCUCCAAUAGCGUAUAUUUAAGUUGCUGCAGUUAAAAAGCUCGUAGUUGGAUUUCGGGUGGGGCCUGCCGGUCCGCCGUUUCGGUGUGCACUGGCCGGGCCCACCUUGUUGCCGGGGACGGGCUCCUGGGCUUUGUCCGGGACCCGGAGUCGGCGAGGUUACUUUGAGUAAAUUAGAGUGUUCAAAGCAGGCCUACGCUCUGAAUACAUUAGCAUGGAAUAACACGAUAGGACUCUGGCCUAUCUUGUUGGUCUGUAGGACCGGAGUAAUGAUUAAGAGGGACAGUCGGGGGCAUUCGUAUUUCAUUGUCAGAGGUGAAAUUCUUGGAUUUAUGAAAGACGAACUACUGCGAAAGCAUUUGCCAAGGAUGUUUUCAUUA